GUGGGUGGGCUGGGGAACUAAUCUCGCUUGCCAAAAUGAAGUUUUCUUGAUUAAAAUGUCAAAUUAGCUGCCAAACUGCUACGUUGUGCUGCAGUCACGUGAGCACUGAUGUGCUUCUGUAGUGCUGGUUUUGUCUUAACAUUUUUUGAAACACACUUUGCUUAAGUCUUAUUUUCAAAGGAAAGCUUUUAUUUUGAAAGUGCAACAAGUAAACAGAAUGGAUAUUUCCUUUUUUAGCUUUAUGUUAUUCUUCAAACUCUUUAGGUGGAAACAGAUGCGGAGAAAUGCUGUUGUGUUUGAUCGGCAAGAUUUAUUCAGUGAAAGGGACCAUAGGAGUCAGUGGUUGCUAUGGUGACAACCUCUCAUUUUGGAAUGAAGGCUAAAAAACACAGAGGAAAAAAAAA